rnacentral:lncRNA from 1 species
UUAAAUCCCUACUUAAUUUGAGUUAUAUAUUAAAUAACCCAAAAAUAAUUCUUCCUCGUUUUAAAUUAGGCCAACAACAACCCACCAAAAAUUCCCAAUUACCAGCCCACCAACCCAAUAAAAUAACCCGACCCACACCCCUAUUCUCUUAACAGCAAAACAACACCAAUUUCAAUGGAGAACAGCUCCAUCAACGGGAAAAACCCGACUUCAAAAAACAGCUACAAACGACAACCCAACGGCAAAACCUGACUCGAUUCCAGUGAAUCAACCAGGGUUCAGCCAACCGUACCCGUCCGUUUCCAACUACAACCAACCAGCGACCCGACAGUCUGAACCAGCAAACCCGAACCCAGCUUCCCAAAAAUGACCUGAUAUCAACAAACCGCAAAAUCCAAAUCCAAAAAUCCUUUCAAAUUUUGAACGUUUGUACGAUUUUCGUACAACACAUAACUGUCAAGCCUUAUCACCAAAUAAAAUUCCAAAAAAUCAAAAUUUACCCCUGGAUUCCUCCUCUUCCUCAUCGGUUGAGGCCUAGAAAUUCAACCCUCGAAUUUUCCUAUAAAAGGGCUCACUAUUGAGCUAAAGAGGGAAGCCUUGAAGGUUGAUAAAACCUUUGAGCAAAGAAGUCUCAUUUUCUUAGUAUAAAAGUUUUUCUCCGUGAAAUUCAUCGAUUAACCGAAGUUUCCGAGUUGACGAUGACGCUUUUCGAUAGUCGAUGGAUUCCGACAAAUCUCAAGUCUCAUUUUUCCGUCCCAAAAAAGGUAAACAUAUUCUUCCCCUUCUAGUAUUAUUGCCACUUUCUUGUUCAUCUCGUUCUUCGUAUUAGUUGCUUCUUAGUUUAGAAAUACUAUUGCUGGGUUUGUUUACUGUAGCUGGCCUCAAAUACCAUAGGAUUGCGUAAAGAAGAUAGGGAUUUUAACAUGUUGAUGUGCUAUUAGUUUAGUUUUAUGUUUCAGUUUCGGCUUUCUAUAGAAUUCACUAUUUUGAUUCUCUGUUGGUAAUCCUUAACUUCUUGCUUCUUUAAAUUGGCAUAUAUUCUUGGAUUACCGUUUCCAGAUUAUCUUUCAUAUCAUCUGUAUUUACUCAUCAUUAUAUGUCGUCUGAAUUUCCUGUUCAAAUCUAAUGCUGCAGAUUUUAGAGUUUUGCUUCUGCAGUAAACAGUUAAAUGUAGUCCUCUAUGUUGAUAUUCGAAUGUUUUGGUUAAUGGUUUAGUUUCUUCUAUGAUUAUGAUUAAUAAUAGAUUCUCGCUUAUUUGAGCAUAAUUAUAAUUCCCUCACCUCUUGAAUUCAAAUCUCAUGACUAUGGCCCUAAAUUUUUAGUAGACAUGUUCAACCGGAUUGUCUAUUAAAGUUAUAUGAUGUUGUUCCGUUAAGAAAGAUUGUCUGAAAUGCAUAUAUGUCUUUUAAGAUUUCUUCUAAAACCUGCAUAUUGCUCUCCUUCUUUGGAAAUAUCCCCGUGUCGCAUGCUUAUCGGUUCAUGUCUUAAAAUUGUUGUUCUCGUAAAAAAUUAAUUGAACCAUCGAUCUUGCAUUUAGUAAGCAUCAUAGUCGACAGAGCACAUCUUUGAUUUUGUGAAAAUCUAGCCUGAAGGUCGAGAGUUUUGUUUCCUAGUAUAAUCAUAAAAAAUGGAUUUUUUUUGCUAGUCAUCUUGACUCGUAAAUGUUCAUUCUUUAUUUUAUUUUACGCAUGUAGAAUCGCUUAAAACUUAUGGUAGCAUCCUUAUCCAGGUGACUAAAUUUGAAAACCAUUAGUGGUUCUUUCAAACAAUAAAAUAAGAUCUGAUCUUUUGCAUUAGUUUGAUUUUGUUGGGAUUAUUGUAGUCUACAUCCUUAGUAAGGAGAGCCUUCAUUGGUUGAUCUUGGGAAUUAUCUGGUGAUGUGUGGGACUCAUGGAACUUAUGUUGUGUGUCGUUCAUAUAUCAUUUCUUAGAGCCUCUCUCAUGGAGUCAUUUUUCCCCUCCUAUUCUUGUCGGUUUUACUAUUUUUCUGUAUCUUGGUUUGAUUUUGUUAAAAUAAUGUCUACGAUGGGGGAGGUUAUUAUUUAUCUUGUCUACUAAGUAUGCGAUGUCUUUUGAGCACUUGAGUUCAAAAAUUUCGACUUCUACUUGAUUUCCUCGUUAAGAAUAUAUUAUUUGAAUUGUAUACAAUUUGGGGCCGAAACAAGUGGCUUUUUCCUUGAUAGAUUGUCUUGCUUUAUUUUAUUAAGAGGAUUUAGGUUGCAUGUGUAUGCCUAUAUCUUUAUUUCAGUUAAAAUUUGUUGAAUUUUCUCUCGAAAAUCCCAUGGCUUGGCCUAUUGAUAUUUUAUUUAAUGACAAUGUUAUCUCUUUCACAUUUUUGUUUUAACAUUCCUAGUGUUUCUGUCACAUUUUUAUGCCAAUGGUUUCAAUUAGGUUCUAAUCUUUGUCUACACUUGAACAUAUAUUAAUUAUUGUAUUUUUCUACCUGGACUCUUUUUCCUUCCGCAUUUUUGUCAUGGGUCAUUUAUUUCCCAUCUCUUCGAGGUGAUUCAUCAAAAGCCCAAAAGAAGUUCCAAAAUCGAUCUCAUGGCAUAUGGAUAUAAGGAGUCGAAAGAAGAAGGACAGGUUGAAAUCCAUUUUUAAAGUGGUGAAAAGACUCAAAAGUCUCAUUAAUUAUUUUAUUUAUUUACUUAUUGUUGUCUUUAUUUAUUUAUUUAUUUAUUCGUAUGCCUUGAAGCCAAAGUUGUAAAGAUAAUACAGGUAGAGCGGACUUUGGGCCAAAAAGGCUCGAAAACUAGAUUAGGAUAGGUGAAAUGGGUCGAAAGUCAAAUUAGACUAGGACAUGUUUCGUUGAUUUGGGCCCAAGGCCUAAAUCUUUUACUUUCUCCUCCCUUUCCCCUUUUAUGUGUUUAUUUGCUUAUUAGUUUUGUUUAACCAUAGUUAAAAUCCUUACUAAGUCGCUUAAAUUUGUUUUAUGCAAGUGUUUUCUAAAUCGAUCACUUUUCAACAAAUCAAUCUUUUUUUAAGUUAGUCAAAAGAUGUUUUCAAAUAGAUCGGAUAACCACAAGUUAGCGAACGUUUUAGGUUCUUUAAAAACCUUCCUAAAACGUUAAUAGGAACUGCUUACUCAGAAUCAUCGAAACUUAAACGAUUUUUCUAUUUUGGAUUGUUUAGAGUGUCUAAUAAAGGUUUUUAAAUUCUUUUUCAAAAUUAAGUGGCGACUCUCUAAAAGUCGAAAUUUUUGCAAAACAAAUGAUAAGUUGGAGACUUGGAGGGAGAUGCUUGAGUCUAAAGGAUUUCGGUUAAGUAGAACCAAGAUGGAGUACUUGGAGUGUAAGUUCAGUGAUAUGUCGUAGGAGGUUGGAGUGGUUGUGAAGCUGGACUUUUAGGCCAUUUAGAAGAGGGUGAGUUUCAAGUAUAUAGGGUCUAUGAUUCAAGACAAUGGUAUUGACGAUGAUGUCACGCAUCACAUUGGGGCAGGAUGGUUGAAAUGGAGGUUCGCUUCAGGAGUUCUAUGUGAUAAGAAGGUGCCACCUAAGCUUAAAGGUAAGUUCUAUAAAGUGGUAGUUCGGCCAACUAUGUUAUAUGGAGCGGAGUGUUGGCCAGUUAAGAGCUUCAAAAAGUUAAAGGUGGCGGAGAUGCAAAUAUUGCGAUGGAUAUAUGGACAUACCAGGAAAGAUAGGGUGAAGAAUGAGAUUAUUCGAGGGAAGGUGGGAGUUUUCUCGGUGGAGGACAAGAUAUAAAAAGUAAGGUUACGUUGGUUCGGGCAUGUGAUGAGGAGAGGCUUUGAUGCUUCAGUGUGGAGGUGCGAGACACUAGCUAUGGAUGGUUUUAAGUGGGGUAGAGGUAGACCGAAGAAAUAUUGGAGGGAGGUGAUUAGGCAUGGUAUGGAGCAGUUACAGCUUACGGAGGACAUGAUCCUUGAUAGGAAGGUGUGGAGGAAGCGGAUUAGGGCAGAGGGUUAUGGGGUGGGAAUGCGUUGGUAAUAGUAGGGGAGUGUUCUUUUGUGUCUAGAGUUUUUUGUUCGUGGUGUUAUGGCUGUAGUAUUAUCGUGUGGCUAUUUUGCAUACCAUACUAGUUUAUAUGCAUUUAUCUUUGGUGUUUGUUAUAUUGUUCGUUUAUUUUGCGUGCCGUGCUAGUUUAUAUGCACUUAUCUUUUGUGCUUGGUAUACUGUUAUCGGUCCUAAGCCCGAGGUCUAUCGAAAACAAUCUCUCUACUUCAACUGAUGUAUGGUAUGGUCUACGAACACUCUACCCUCCCCAGACCCCUCUAUGUGGGAAAACACAGGGUAUGUUGUUGUUUUAGAGUAUUUUUGGAUUUAGAAUGUAUUCUAUAUUUUAUUGUUAGUUUUCUUAUAAGUCUCGCUUCUAGUUUAGAGAUCUUGGUUAUUAUUUUAUCUAAUUUUUUUGAAUUUUGUUUUUUCUGAUUUAAAUUGAUGUUUACUGGAUAUAAUUCUUCUUACUUACUUCUAAUAUUUUGGAGUUUUCUCAUUAAGCUGAGUAAAUACUUUUAUCUUUCCUAAACUUUUCUUCUAACCGUACUCUUUUUAUGUAAUAAUGUAUUUUAGAUCCUACUUAUGCUAUUCUAGCGUCUAUUUGACGUAUGUUAUGAUGAAUUUCUUCAGUUUGAUCUCCUAUGGCUAGCGAAGCCUGAAGUAAACUAUAGUAUAACUAUUUUUGUUCUGUUAAACAAUCAUAUACCGCUCUCUUGAAGAAAAAUCAGGCGAAGAUAGCUCGAAUAGAAUAAAAUUCGAUAAUUCACUCAAAUGUGAUAAAGGAGAUAAUUGCACAUGCAAGGAUAGCAAAAAGGUAACAACUUAUGAAAAACUGCAAGACUUGUUAGACAUAGACGGAUUAGAAAAAGAAUACACUUUAAUAGAAAUAAAUACAGAACUUUUCCUCUAUUCCCACCUUCUUGUAAUCUAAUAGGUUCUUCUAUUGACAUUAUUUUUCCUCUAGUUUUUAUCCUUUCUAUGUGUUUUUCUGGGUUUAUCCUUUACACUCUAUGUCUUAGUAGAUUACCCAUACUUAUUUGUACUCUUUGCAUAUUAGUGGCUCUCCAUUAGUUGUUUUAUGCUCAUUAUUUCAUCUAAACUAUAGUUUUUGAAGUCCGUGGAAUGUAUAUAAAUACCCAUGGUAUAAGACCUAUGGAGACAGAGAAGAGAAGAGAAGAGAGAAAGAACCACUAAUAUGCAAAGAUUACAGAUAAGUACGGGUAAUCUACCAAGACAUAGAGUGUAUAGGAUAAACCUAGAAGAACACACAGAAAAUAUAAUACCUUGGGACUCCAAACAAAUUAUCUAUAAGUUAGAAAUAAUCAAUCCAGAGUACACCAUAAAAACAUCUAUAGAAUCUAGUGUUCUUGGGAGAAAACAUACUUUGAUCUUGAUAAUUUCACUGCUACAUGUAACUAGGGAUAUGGAAGAAGGGAGUAUUGAGUAGGAUUUUACAACAUAUUUUAAAAAUAAACAUAUUCUUGCUCUAUUUUAUGCUAACCUAACUGUUUAAACUAUUAUGAAGAAUUGUUUAGUUAGUUGGGUACACUUGUGGGUUCCAUCGUCACAUGACUAAAGUUUCUCCUUUUGUCAUUAUCAUCCAUUUGUCGUCCACUUUUAUCCCAAUUAUUCAUUUAUUUUUGUUAUUGUGGUCUGAGUAUAUUUUUAGCGAGAAGUACCCAGUCUCUAGUAAUGAAACAACCUCCGUUAUUUGUAACAUAAAAGUCUAGACCUAGUACAAAAUCUGCUCAAAUAUUUAAAUCUCUUAUUAGGAUUCCGUCAAGUUUAUAUGACGGUUUGUAAAAAUCACUGCAAGUAUUAACAAAACUUAUCUUUGCCUUAGGUAUAUAUUGUCUAUAAGUAUUAAACGUUUCAUCCAUUCCCCGAAGACUUUACAGGAUUAGUUAAUAUUGGAGCUAAGCCCUACAACUUUGCAAAUAAGGUACCUAGUUUAUUAACCAGUGAAGACCCCAAUAGUGGCCUAAUUCUCCAACAGAAAAGUGCUCUAGUAAAAUUAGAACAAUUAAGUAUAAAUAAUUGGUUCAAGAUAAAAGAAUUUCUAAACGAUUAUUUCUACUAUUGCAUAAUUAGUGGAAAUUCGUUUGAUCAAGAUUUAGGAAAAAAACUUUUUAACAAAUUACUAGGAGCUUUAGGGCGAGAAAUAGAAGAAAAAUGAUCCAAAAGAGACGGGGUGACACAGCACUCAGAGACAAAAUGGUCAAUAGGACAAAGAAUACAACAUAUAAUGGAAGUAUUACAAGAAAAAUGUAUAAAUAUACGAAUACAAAAACAGUUAAAACAAAGUGAUAUAUAUAUAUAUAUAUAUAUAUGAACAUACUUAAAAGAUCCUACUUUAGACAAAACUGUCUUUUCACUUUUUUUUAUUUAUUAUUUAAUUUUUUUAUUAUAUUAACUAGACUCCUAAAAUAUAUGAAACUAUUAAAAUAUAUGUUAGGAGAAUCAAUUAAUAUUUUUCUUUAGACUGAUCAAUUAGAAAAAUACUCCUAAAAAUAAGAUAGAAAAUUACUCCUAAAAUAGGAUUCUGUUAAGGAAAUACUUCUAUAAAUAUUGAGAUGCACAUUAGACUAGAGAAGAAAUAAAAAACAUAAUUAAUGCUCAUCUAACUUGAUUCGAUGUUUAGAUUGGUGGAUGUUUAAUUUUCUAACUCUCUACUUCUUCACUGUUUUUGUCAAUAUAAUUGAAUUCAUCUUGUGUGUAUAUAUAUCUUCUUUGUUUUCAUUCAAGUCAUUCUUUAAGGUCAAAAUUUUCGCUCAGACAAGAAUUAUUUUCAUCAAAACUGUAGUUUUGUGAUCACUAUUGUAUUAUUUUGUUGUGGUUUACAGGUCGUAGAUGAAUUUACAAGUUGUAGAUGAAUGUAGGUCGACUUUGAGGAAUUUUUUAAGUAAAAGUUAGGUUUAAUUAUAUUGUUUUUAUAUCUCUAUUUUGAGAAUUUUUUUUGUGUAAAGAUUAAGUUUAGUUUAUUUUGAUAUCUCUAUUAUCGUAUUAUUUUGUUAUAGUUUAAGGUUGUAGAUGAGUGUCGGAUAGCUUUGAGAAAUUUUUUUGUGUAAAGUAUAGAUUUAAUUAUAUUAUUUUAAUGUCUCUAUCAUUGUAUUAUCUUAUUGCAGUUAUAAGUGGUAGAUGAAUAUCGAUCGACUUUGACAAAAAAUUUUAAUAAAGGUUAAAUUUAAUUAAAUAAAUUCUUCAAAAGAUGUUGAAUUUAAUUUUUACAUUCAUCUUUAUUAUUUAAACAAAUAUCCUAUUUAGUGAAACGUUUGAACUCAAUAAAGUGAGGUACACGUGCGUACACCUAAACUUGUAAAUAAAUAAGAGUGAAUGAAGAACUUAGGGCCGUUUUUCAAAAAUAACGACUAAGCUCCUCAAAGAUGCAUUUAUUAUUAUUUGAGGACCUUUUUAGAAUUAUUUAUAUUUAUUUAUAAUAAUUAAUUUUAAAAUAUUUAAAAGACGUGAUGAAAAAAUUUAUUGCUUCUCAAAAUUCUUG